GCCUUGCAACCAUUCUCCAAUGGAACAGCUAGCUCAGAGAACCUUUCUUCAUGUGGUAUGCAAUUAACCUUAAGUUAAAGUUUGCAUAAAACCUUUAUUAGACUUUUCCCAGUGCCUGAUGGGUCUUUACUGUACGAAUAAAGUAAGUAUUGUUACAGAUUAUUAUAGACAGGAUUCUUGGGCCUGAUGAAUAUGAUGCACCUAAUCCUAAAAGAAGGAACCCUGCAGUAAAUCCUUCUAAAACAACUUUUAUAUUAAUUUAAUUUACUGAGACAAUAAAAAUAAA